rnacentral:sRNA from 1 species
UUCAACUUGCUGUGGGCAAAUCCAGUGAAUGUGAGUAUCAAUCCCCCCUGCCGUUAAAAUUUGCCCUUCACCCGCAAUCACUUCUGUUGCAGCCCCUAAAGGAAUGGUAAUGUCAGGUUGAAUAUCAGGAUUUCCUGCUUUCCCUAUUUUCCAGAUUCGACCAUUUUUUAAGCCAACAUCCGCCUUUACAAUCCCCCACCAAUCUACAAUCAAAGCAUUGGUAAUCACAGUGUCGGCAACUUCAUCGGCUAAAAGUUGAGAUUGCCCCAUUCCAUCACG